rnacentral:rRNA from 1 species
GAUGAACGCUAGCUACAGGCUUAACACAUGCAAGUCGCGGGGUAACGAGAGGGAAGCUUGCUUUCCUUGUCGACGACCGGCGCACGGGUGAGUAACGCGUAUCCAACCUGCCCCCAACUAGGGAAUAACCUUGCGAAAGUAAGACUAAUAACCUAUACUUUCCUCAGAUGACAUCUGACGAGGAAUAAAGAUUUAUCGGUUGUGGAGGGGGAUGCGUCUGAUUAGCUUGUUGGCGGGGUAACGGCCGACCAAGGCAACGAUCAGUAAGGGUUCUGAGAGGAAGGUCCCCCACAUUGGAACUGAGACACGGUCCAAACUCCUACGGGAGGCAGCAGUGAGGAAUAUUGGUCAAUGGGCGGAAGCCUGAACCAGCCAAGUAGCGUGCAGGAUGACGGCCCUAUGGGUUGUAAACUGCUUUUAUACAGGAAUAAAGUUAGCCACGUGUGGUUAUUUGUAGGUACUGUAUGAAUAAGGACCGGCUAAUUCCGUGCCAGCCGCCGCGGUAA